CUGCUCAAUGAGGAUUUAAAUUGCCGCGGUAUUUUGACCGUGCAAAGGUAGCAUAAUAAUUAGUUUCUUUAUUGGAAGCUGGAAUGAAUGAUUGGACGAGAAAAUUACUGUCUUGAGAAAUUUAUUUUUGAAUUUAACUUUUGAGUUAAAAGGCUCAAAUUUUAUUUAUAACGAGAAGACCCUAUAGAGUUUUAUAUUAAUUGGAUUUAUUAGUUUUUGGUUAUUUAAUGUUUUGAGUUUUGUUAAUAUUUGGUUGGGGUGACUUAAAGAUUUAUUAAACUCUUUAAAUUUUAAAUCAUUGAUUUAUGAAUAAAUAAUCUAGUUUUGUCUAAAUUUAAGAUAAAUUACCUUAGGGAUAACAGCGUAAUUUCUUUUUAGAGUUCUUAUUAAAAGGGAAGAUUGCGACCUCGAUGUUGGAUUAAAAUUAAUUUUUGGUGCAGAAGCUUAAAAAUUGGGUCUGUUCGACCUUUGAAAUUUUACAUGAUCUGAGU
rnacentral:rRNA from 1 species